AUUGAACGCUGGCGGCAUGCUUUACACAUGCAAGUCGAACGGCGGCUCGGGCUUCGGCCUGGAGGCGAGUGUCGAACGGUUGAGUAAUGCAUCGGAACGUGCCCAGUAGUGGGGGAUAGCCCGGCGAAAGCCGGAUUAAUACCGCAUACGACCUGAUGGUGAAAGCGGGGGACCGAAAGGCUUCGCGCUAUUUGAGCGGCCGAUGUCGCAUUAGCUAGUUGGUGGGGUAAAGGCUUACCAAGGCGACGAGCCGUAGCUGGUCUGAGAGGACGACCAGCCACACUGCGAAUGAGACAAGGCCCAGACUCCUACGGGAGGCAGCAGUGGGGAAUUUUGGACAAUGGGGGCAACACUGAUCCAGACAUGCCGCGUGAGGGAAGAAGGGCUACGGGUUGUAAACCGCUUUUGUUCGGGAAGAAAACCUCUGGGCUAAUACCCAGGGGGGAUGACGGUACCGGAAGAAUAAGCACCGGCUAACUACGUG
rnacentral:rRNA from 1 species